rnacentral:rRNA from 1 species
GUGAAUUUCUAAGGGCGCAUGGUGGAUGCCUUGGCAACAGGAGCCGAAGAAGGACGUGGGAAUCUGCGAUAAGCCUGGUGGAGUCGAUAACCGGACGUUGAGACCAGGAUUUCCGAAUGGGGAAACCCCGCACGACGUGUCGUGUGACCCCCGGUUGAACACAUAGACCGGGUGGAGGGAACGUGGGGAAGUGAAACAUCUCAGUACCCACAGGAAGAGAAAACAAAAGUGAUUCCGUUAGUAGUGGCGAGCGAACGCGGAUGGGGCUAAACCGUAUGUG